AAAAAUAAUCACCCACAAAGUUACAUACAUGGCACCUCGCAAGCGGGCACGACGUGUAUGAAACAGAACACCCGUGUUAUAACUACUGUCAUUACCCCGCCA